rnacentral:rRNA from 1 species
AUUGAACGCUGGCGGCAUGCCUUACACAUGCAAGUCGAACGGUAACAGGUUAAGCUGACGAGUGGCGAACGGGUGAGUAAUGUAUCGGAACGUGCCCGGUCGUGGGGGAUAACUGCUCGAAAGAGCAGCUAAUACCGCAUACGACCUGAGGGUGAAAGCGGGGGAUCGCAAGACCGCGCGCGAUUGGAGCGGCCGAUAUCAGAUUAGGUAGUUGGUGGGGUAAAGGCCUACCAAGCCUACGAUCUGUAGCUGGUCUGAGAGGACGACCAGCCACACUGGGACUGAGACACGGCCCAGACUCCUACGGGAGGCAGCAGUGGGGAAUUUUGGACAAUGGACGCAAGUCUGAUCCAGCCAUGCCGCGUGCGGGAAGAAGGCCUUCGGGUUGUAAACCGCUUUUGUCAGGGAAGAAAAGGUUCUGGUUAAUACCUGGGACUCAUGACGGUACCUGAAGAAUAAGCACCGGCUAACUACGUGCCAGCAGCCGCCGUAAAAC